rnacentral:misc_RNA from 1 species
UUUUUAAAAAAAAUAAUCGAAUAAUCAAAGUAUUUGUAUUCAAAAUUUCCCGCGAUUUCGAUUUGUGUGUGUUGCAUUGAUGUAACGGGAGUAACUCAGUCAGUUGCUUGUCAUUCGGUCGGUUGGUUGGUCUCUCGGUUUGUCCACGGUUGGUUGAAAAGAACAGCGCCGUGGUAAACAGCGUUCGAACGUUUACGAUUAGAACAAUAAAUUGAACGUAAGAAAUUAAAUACGAAUGAAAUAAAUUAACAGGAUAUUCAUCUUUGAUUAGUGAAAACGUGUUGUUGUUAUUAAUUUUAUAGGAGUUAAUGAAUUCUUAUCGUUGAAAGAACGCAAUUAUAAAUGGGGUGGGGGUGUGGUACGUUUCAAUGAUCGUACUACGUUGACCGACAUUAUGCGUAUACGUGAAGUUAGCCAUGCUGAAUAUGGUGUUUAAUGUGAACAAGAAGGGAAGAUAGUGUUCCGCCAUGACAGUAGUGGCAGAUUUAAGAGGACGAAGCUGUAAUUAAUCAUGCUCACUUAUAUGUGAUAUUAUAUCGUUGGAAUUGCGUUAAAUGUUUGUACCGUAAUGAACACUAUUUUAAAAAGUUUAACAAACUAUGGAUUUGUAUCUUCACAUACAGUUGCAUUAUGUCAUCAUCUAAUCUCAGAAUAUGAGAUUCUAAAAGAACGGUGAAUUAUUUACGAAGCCUAGUCAAAAGGAUCGUAAGGUAAAAUUAAUCGAUAAAAUGCCUCUACCAAAAAGAUUGGUGGAACCUGUUCACGUUGCGCGUGGGACAAUACCGGAUGAUUAUCCAUUGCCAUCGGAAUUAGAAGCUGUUACUAAUGGUACUUUGGCUAAUACCAUUAGACAACUUUCUAGCCUUUCACGGCAUGCCGAAGAUCUUUUUGCAGAGCUGACUAGAGAAGCUCAUGCGUUAAGUGAAAGGGCAAAUUCUUUGCAAGCUAGGAUAGAUCGAUUAGCUGUCAAAGUCACUCAACUUGAUAGCAAUGUCGAGGAAGUGUCACUACAAGAUAUACACAUGAGGAAAGCAUUUAAGAGCUCAAUUGUUUUUGAUCAACAAGUAGUUUCAAGAGAAUCGAUGCCAACGGCAAUGUUAGAGACUUAUCGUCAAUGCGACAUACCACCACCUUUAGAUAAGCUCAACAUUUAUAGAGAGGAUGGAAAAGAUGGAUUGAAGUUUUACACAGAUCCAAAUUAUUUCUUUGAUCUAUGGAGUCAAGAGAUGUUAAAAGAUACUGAAAAGAAAUUACAUGAUCGAGGGAAAAAGACUGAAACAGAAUAUGCCGAACCAUACAGAAAGCCUCAUAGACCACGGAACGAAGGUAGUAGUGGUGGAGGUAGACACAAGAAGCGCGUAAGACAGCCUCAUAAUACAAGGGAAAGGCAGAGACAAUUAGCGGUUGGUCAUGGGGAAUAUAUAAUGCCAACACAGGGGGUUCAAUAUAGAGCACCUCAUAACAUGACUGAUGAAGCGAUGAUGGGGAUGGUUGUGACCGAAUCAAGACCACCCAGACCAAACAGUAUUGAACUUAGACGAAGUUAUCCACCAGAGGAGCAACACUUGUAUAGCCCUUCUUCCUCUGAUCAUUACAGGGCAACAAAUUCUGUUUCUCAUGGUUACGAAGAAAACGUAUACGGUUCUCAUUAUGCUUCUGGUCAAGGCCAACAAGGUAGCGAAACUUAUCAAAGUCCAGGUGGACAAAGUACACCCAGUAGAAGUGGUAGAUCGCGACCUUCUCAACCACCUCCUGCUCCACCAAGCAAUACUUCUAGUAAUUCAACUCCCACGGUAGCCUCAGCUAAUAAUACUCCUACCAGAGGGAGAUCUAUGAGCACUGGUAGAGAUACGCUUCCACCACCUCCUCCUCCUCCAGGAGAAACGAUGUCUCCACCUUCUAUGAAUGGUUCAAUACCAUCUCAUUUAUUAAAUAGAAGUGGAAGUCGUCCAAACAGUCCGUUACCGAGUCAUCAUUCGACUCCUACUCCACCAAAUCACUCGGCACAAAUUGGUACAGACGAAACAGAUCCCGUCUCUCAAGACUUACCACCACCACCUCCAACACCUGACCCUACACCACCAAGGCCUAUUUCUCCGCCAUGUAAUAUUCCUCCUCCUCCUCCGCCACCACCUCCACCGCCAGCAAUUAAUGGUACAUCGCCACCAGUACCAUUGACGAACGGAGAUAUUGCCAAAAUGAUAGCCAUGUGUCCACCAAAAUUAAAACCAUUGAAAAGUAUCGAUGGACAAUUACGAAAGUCCGUCAAUCCGAAUAUUCCAUUGGUAGAUCCGAGGAAUGAUUUACUUAAAGCGAUAAGAGAUGGAAUUAAAUUAAGAAAAGUAGAAAAAAUCGAGCAGAAGGAAGUAGAACGUGUUAAUGCAUUGAACGAUGUUGCAUCCAUAUUGGCUCGUCGUGUUGCUGUCGAAUUUAGUGACAGUGAUUCAGCUUCGGAAAGCGAAUGCGACAGUGAAGGAUGGGGCGAACAAGAAACGAAUCUCACGUGACCCACCUCUUUUCCAUCUGCUGCCACUGUCUCCUAAAGAAAUGACCGAGGAGCUACCUUUUUAUUUUCUUGAUGAAUUUUAUUUGGAUCAUCUACAAUAAUCAGAAUUGUCGAAUUGAUCUACCCAAGUACAAGAUCAUAAAAGUUAAUCAAUUUGACAAAUGAGUGAUACAUCUAACAAUCAUUUGUUACCGUUUCGCCAGAUGAUGAUCAACUCGAAUAAAAACAAAAUUAUCUGGCGAAUGGACAAUAUAUUAUUUCUCUACGCUCUAAUAAAAAAAAUAAUAAAAAAAAUAAAAAGAAAGAAAAUCUGUCGUGUGUGCGUCCUACCGCAACGAUAAUGGUACAUCGAGUUUUAACAUUCGGUCGACGGUCUUGCUAAUAAAAAUAAUAAUAAUAAUAAUAAUAAUAAUAAUCUUCCACGUCUAUUGUAAGGAACAUAGCGUUAGAGACUGUCAUCGGAUUUUUCGCUUGUAUUAUCAAGAGAUAUAUCGAGAAUAUGUAAUGAAACAAAUGCUCCAUUAUAUGUAAGAUUUAACGAAGUUGUUAUUUAAUAAAAAUGAAAAAGAAACAUUUUCUAGUAUAUUAUAAAAUUAAAUGUAUAAUUAAAUGUAAC